UACGUAGGGUGCAAGCGUUGUCCGGAAUUAUUGGGCGUAAAGAGCUCGUAGGUGGCCUGUCGCGUCGGCUGUGAAAACUCGGGGGCUCAACUCCGAGCUUGCAGUCGAUACGGGCAGGCUAGAGUUCGGCAGGGGGAGACUGGAAUUCCUGGUGUAGCGGUGAAAUGCGCAGAUAUCAGGAGGAACACCGGUGGCGAAGGCGGGUCUCUGGGCCGAUACUGACACUGAGGAGCGAAAGCGUGGGGAGCGAACAGG
rnacentral:rRNA from 1 species